UGGAUUGAUGAUGAUAUAUGCUAGCGUGUGAGUCAUUGAUGACGAAUAAUACAUAUCUGGAACGCUGAGGUCCAA
ensembl:snoRNA